UACAGAGGGUGCAAGCGUUGCUCGGAAUCAUUGGGCGUAAAGGGCAUGUAGGUGGUCUCAUUUGUCUGGGGUGAAAGCCUUGGGCUUAACCCAAGAAGUGCCUCGGAAACGGUGAGACUUGAGUACUGGAGAGGGUCGUGGAAUUCCCGGUGUAGCGGUGAAAUGCGUAGAGAUCGGGAGGAACACCAGUGGCGAAGGCGACUACCUGGCCUGUUCUUGACGCUGAGGCGCGAAAGCUAGGGGAGCAAACGGG
rnacentral:rRNA from 1 species